CACAAAGCUCAGCAAUACUCAGUCUUAUCCACCACAGUAGGUCAUGCAGCUACCACUGCUGUACACUAGAGUGGACUUUUAUUUUAAAAUAACAUUAAUCAUAUAUCAUCUAAGAACAGAUUAAGUUAUAGAGUACUUUAAGAACAUAGUGAAAUAAGCAAUGCAAUUUAGAAAGAUUUUUAUAAGGAGAUUUAAGUGAGGAAAUCUUCAGCAUUUCAGAAUGACAUAUUCUCUUAAGGAUUCCUGAAGAUAAGAUUUUAUUAUGAUUUUCUGUCUUUUGUCUCCUUUCUUGUUGUAGUGUUUUAGAGCGUGGAGAUGACAAAUUACACUUGCAUUUCACUUAACAGGAUUCAACUAUAUGUGUCCAGAAAAAGGAAAGAUGAAGUGAAAGAAUGAAGAAAAAAAUGCUCAUUUCACAUUCCCUGGAGUCAGGACACAAGUCCCAGGCCAGCUGCCGCCUCACUCGACCACUUGGACUACCAGAUGUCAGGCUGCCCUUUGUGGACUUCUCACUUGGCAACCUCUCCUUUUCCUUUUCUUCUCACGUUGGACACUGCCUUCCUUUUCUUCACCCCCUUCUCAUGGCACCAAGUGGUUCAACUCCAUUGUUUUGGAACAAGGAAAAGAGAAACAAGAAGAUCAAAUAAAUGUAUCACCCCAAUUCACUGGAAGAGUCUGUAAAUGAGCAAAAUUAAAACAAUUUCUCUGUAGCCAGCACCACAGCAGGAGCUGGGCUCUCUGACACAUGUGAAACACUCUUUCUGUGUGUAAAUAUUUUCAAAUUGCCUUUUUAAAGAAAAGAGGAAGCCCAGGCAGAGUCAUACAUAGCCCAGAUGUAUCGGAUCAGAAGAAUGAAAGUGCAAAAGGUCAGAGACUA
rnacentral:lncRNA from 1 species